GCUGCAGAAGAAGCACCGGGCUAACUCCGUGCCCAGCAGCCGCGGUAAUACGGAGGGUGCGAGCGUUUAUCGGGAAUUACUGGGCGUAAAGCGCAUGCAGGGUGGUUUGUUAAGUCAGAUGUGAAAGCCCGGGGCUCAACCUCGGAACUGCAUUUGAAACUGGCAAACUAGAGUACUGUAGAGGGGGGUAGAAUUUCAGGUGUAGCGGUGAAAUGCGUAGAGAUCUGAAGGAAUACCAGUGGCGAAGGCGGCCCCCUGGACAGAUACUGACACUCAGAUGCGAAAGCGUGGGGAGCAAACAGGAUUAGAUACCCUGGUAGUCCACGCCGUAAACGAUGUCUACUUGGAGGUUGUGGCCUUGAGCCGUGGCUUUCGGAGCUAACGCGUUAAGUAGACCGCCUGGGGAGUACGGUCGCAAGAUUAAAACUCAAAUGAAUUGACGGGGGCCCGCACAAGCGGUGGAGCAUGUGGUUUAAUUCGAUGCAACGCGAAGAACCUUACCUACUCUUGACAUCCAGAGAACUUUCCAGAGAUGGAUUGGUGCCUUCGGGAACUCUGAGACAGGUGCUGCAUGGCUGUCGUCAGCUCGUGUUGUGAAAUGUUGGGUUAAGUCCCGCAACGAGCGCAACCCUUAUCCUUGUUUGCCAGCGAGUAAUGUCGGGAACUCCAGGGAGACUGCCGGUGAUAAACCGGAGGAAGGUGGGGACGACGUCAAGUCAUCAUGGCCCUUACGAGUAGGGCUACACACGUGCUACAAUGGCGCAUACAGAGGGCAGCCAACUCGCGAGAGUGAGCGAAUCCCAAAAAGUGCGUCGUAGUCCGGAUUGGAGUCUGCAACUCGACUCCAUGAAGUCGGAAUCGCUAGUAAUCGUAGAUCAGAAUGCUACGGUGAAUACGUUCCCGGGCCUUGUACACACCGCCCGUCACACCAUGGGAGUGGGCUGCAAAAGAAGUGGGUAG
rnacentral:rRNA from 1 species